AUUGAACGCUGGCGGCAGGCCUAACACAUGCAAGUCGAACGGUAGCACAGAGAGCUUGCUCUCGGGUGACGAGUGGCGGACGGGUGAGUAAUGUCUGGGAAACUGCCCGAUGGAGGGGGAGUAACUACUGGAACGGUAGCUAAUACCGCAUAACGUCGCAAGACCAAAGUGGGGGACCUUAGGACCUCACACCAUCGGAUGUGCCCAGAUGGGAUUAGCUAGUUGGUG
rnacentral:rRNA from 1 species